rnacentral:rRNA from 1 species
UUAAUUCUUGAAGAGUAAGAGGGUCACGACGGUGAGCGCAGAAGGGUCAGGGCGUGAGCCUGCCUGGAGCCGCCGUUGGUGCAGAUCUUGGUGGUAGUAGCAAAUACUCUAGCGAGGGCCUGGAGGACUGACGUGGAGAAGGGUUUCUUGUGAACAGCCGUUGCACAAGAGUCAGUCGGUCCUAAGCCCUAGGAGAAAUCCGAUGACGAUGUUGGGCUUUACAAUAUGAGCACAGCUCCUAUUGGGCGAAAGGGAAUCCGGUUCCUAUUCCGGAACCUGGCUGCGUAACCGCCACUUUGCGGGCACUUGCUUGCGAGCGUCCGACGGGGUAACCCGAAAUGGCCUGGAAACGCUGGCGGGGGGUCUGGAGAGAGUUUUCUUUUCUUAAUAAGCGUUCGUGAACCCUGGAAUCCUAUAGCAGGGAGAUAGGGUUUGGAACGCGAAGAGCACCGCAGUUGCGGCGGUGUCCAGACCUUCCCCCCCAGACCUUGAAAAUCCAGGUGAGGGCCACGCGGAAAUCGCGCCAG